rnacentral:piRNA from 1 species
UGUUAGCUCACUUCUUUUCACGCCACUUG